UUGGAGGGCAAGUCUGGUGCCAGCAGCCGCGGUAAUUCCAGCUCCAAUAGCGUAUAUUAAAGUUGUUGCAGUUAAAAAGCUCGUAGUUGAAUUUCGGGGUCAGCAGGUUGGUCGUGCCAAUGGUAUGCACUGGCCUUGCUGAUUCCUCCCUCUUGAUGAGCCGUAAUGCCAUUAAUUUGGUGUUGCGGGGAAUCAGGACUGUUACUUUGAAAAAAUUAGAGUGUUUAAAGCAGGCAAGCGCUUGAAUACAUUAGCAUGGAAUAAUGAAAUAGGACGUUUGAUCCUAUUUUGUUGGUUUCUAGGAUUGACGUAAUGAUUAAUAGGGAUAGUUGGGGGCAUUAGUAUUCAAUUGUCAGAGGUGAAAUUCUUGGAUUUAUUGAAGACUAACUACUGCGAAAGCAUUUGCCAAGGAUGUUUUCAUUAAUCAAGAACGAAAGUUAGGGGAUCCAAGACGAUCAGAUACUGUCGUAGUCUUAACCAUAAACUAUGCCGACUAGGGAUCGGAUGAUGUUAAUUUUUUAAUGACUCCUUCGGCACCUUACGGGAAAC
rnacentral:rRNA from 1 species